UAGCUAUUGGAGAUACACCUUCUCAGCAACACAAUAAAGGUCAAGCAAGAACUUACAACAGUUAUCAUGAAAAACUAUUUACUAAAGCUUAUAAUGACAAUACCAAUAAUUCGAGCUCUCCAGGAGUUAUAGACAAUGCCAAGAAUUCGAAGACUCUAAGAGAGGAUGCAUGGAACUACUACCUACAUAAUAUUAAUAUU